rfam:Mycobacterium rhodesiae NBB3, complete genome.
UCGAACGUAUGGGCGCUGGCAUGUCUUCGAAAUUGAUUGACUUAUGGACAUGUGAGGUGGCUGCGAGCUAGCAGCGCCAGGGGACUUGUCGCACCUGAGCGCGCUGGCGAAUUCCCCGCAGUCACCCGGCCCCCGAGCCCUCGGUUUUGUCCAAACUGGAACACAUGGCUCGGGGGCCGCUCCAU